GACGAACGCUGGCGGCGUGCCUAAUACAUGCAAGUAGAACGCAGUUGCGAACGGGUGAGUCACGCGUAGGUAACUGCCUCAUAGCGGGGGAUAACUAUUGGAAACGAUAGCUAAUAACGCCUACUGUGAGAUCGACCCGCGUUGUAUUAGGUAGUUGGUGAGGUAAAGGGGCACCAAGGCGACGAUACAUAGCCUAACUGAGAGGGGGAUCGGCCACACUGUGGCUGGGACCCGGCCCAGACUCCUACGUGAGGCAGCAGUAGGGAAACUUCGGCGAUGGGCGGAAGUCUGACCGAGCAACGCCGGGGGAGUGAAUAAGGGUUUCGGAGCGUUAAGCUCUGUUGUGAGAGAAGCGGUAACUAACGAGAAAGGGACGGCUAACUACGGGCCAGCCGCCGCGGUAAUUC
rnacentral:rRNA from 1 species